CCACUGCGUUGGUUGCGGGCAGAGAGUCCUGGCUUGAGUCAGUAAUAAACUUCCCUUCCUGCGAGUUGCAUUGUCUUGGAGGCCUUCUCUCUUCCCGGAGCUCGGGGAUUCGGACAUCGGGCAUAACAUAUGGGGGCUCACCUGGGAUCCCUUUACCGGGGGAAGAGAACACUUCCAGGACAGAGGGGAAGGAUAGAUAAUAGCACCAGUGCCCAGGAAAACUCAGGGGGCCCGAAAACCCAGCGCUGUGUUGUCAGCUGUUCGUGUGUUUGUCUUUGACUCUCCAUGUUUGUGUGUGUGCCGGCAUUGUCUCAGGCAGGACAGGAAGUCCAGAGUAAAACCGGGGCUCUGCUGCAAAGCAGGGAGGUAUCUGGCACAGGAAAAGCCCAGAGUAAUUCCGGGGCCCUGCUGCAAAGCAGGAAGGUAUCUGGCACAGGAAAAGCCCAGAGUAAUUCUGGGGCCCUGCUGUAAACCAGGGAGGUAUCUGGCACAGGAGAAAGCUUUCUCUAGCCGGCAUAAGGCCGAGGCCAGUGAGCACGCUGGAAGGCAGCCGGCUCUGUGGGAAGGAGAGUUCCUCUCCUGAUCCCGAGUCUGGUCUGGUCAGGGGGCCCGAAAACCCAGUGCUGUGUUGUUGGCCGACGUUUGUCUGUCUGUGUGUUUGUCUUCGGCUCUCCGUGUUUGUCCGUGUUUGUGUGUGUGCUGGCAUUGUCUCUGGUUUUUAAUUAGACUCUUUUCAGGCAGGCAGGCAGGAGUUUCAGUGAACAGGUGAAUGGCUGUGGGGCAAUUGAUGAGUCCCGGUCAGGGCUACACUCUGGUGGACUCUGAAGGCCCUACAAUAAGUGAGCCUCAGUAACUAGAGCCCAACCAGGUGAAACUCUCCUUUCACUACGAUUGUCAGCAGCUGUUGCAGGAGCAAAUUCUGGCAGAAGUGUGGAAACGGGUCCCAGGGGCCAACGGGAGGCCAACUGCCCAGCCUCAUCUCGUGGACAAGGGGUUUCCUCUGUUGCAGCCUAACUGGGAUUUUGAGCGAGCGGAAGGUAGGGAGCGUCUCCGAGUGUACCACCAGACUCUGAUGGCUGGCCUGCGGGCCACAGCAAGAAAGCCGAUUUAGUAAGGCAAGAGCCCACUGAGAGCCUGACAGCCUUCCUAGAGAGGCUAAUGGAAGCUUUCAGGCAAUAUACACCUAUGGACCCCCAGGCUGAGGAGUCACGUGCCGCAGUCCUGUUAGCAUUUGUAAAUCAGGCAGCCCCAGCUAUUAGGAAGAAAUUACAAAAGAUAGAGGGAUUGGGAGAACAGAUGAUACAGGAUUUAUUGAAAGCAGCUGAAAAGGUAUUUAAUAAUAGGGAGACCCCAGAAGAAAGGGAAGAACGAAUUCGACGGGAGGAAAGGGAAUUAGCUGAGAAGAUAAGGAAGGAUAGAACGAGGGAAAACCGGAAGAACCAGAGGGAGCUAGCCCAGAUUCUUUUUGCGGGGAUAAAAGCAAGAACAGAAUUGAGGGAACCUCGAGACCCCUGGACGGGAGAAAAACAGAAACCAAAAAGGCAGGCCCUAAAGAAAGAUCAGUGUGCCUACUGCAAAGAACAGGGGCACUGGAAAAAUGAGUGCCCUAAGAGGGACCUGAGGAGAGGUACAACCAAGAGAGAGAGAAUCUCCCCUGGAACUCGAGUUCUAUAUGCGGGGGAAGACAGUGACUAGGGGAGUCAAGACUCGGCACCCCUCCCCAAGUCCUGGGUAACGAAAAGUAGAAUUGCAGUCAUGAGGAACUGGAAAAUUCUGCUGAAGAUUACUCACAGCUGUGGCACUUUACCUUGCUGAUCAGUGGUGGGCUAUAUUGUGAAAACAUCUGUCCCUCCUAGAGAGGGUCUUAAGCAGGUGAGCACUCUUGGGGAGAGAGUGGUUAAAGUAGGAAAUGGAGAGAAAUGAGAUCCCAUUCCUGUGUCAUAGCUAACAUUUUGUGGAAGAAAGGAGAGGCCAUUGGGUUUUAUUCAGUUAAGCCUACAGAACUGGGAGAAUGACAGUCAUGGAUGGACUUGGAUCCCUAGCCUUAAGAGAUGAAUAAAUACCCAUUGGCCUGGGCUGAAACGGCAGGGAUGGGACUGGCCAAACAGACAUCCGGUUGUCAUCGAGCUAAAGGCCUAGGCAACUCCUGUGAGGGUGAGACAGUACCUCAUGAGCCAGGAAGCUCGGCGGGGAUUCACUCCCCACAUUCGAUGUCUCAUGGAUGCCGGAAUUCUCAAGCGGUGUCAAUCCCCUUGGAACACCCCCUUACUAAGAAGCCAGCGGGGACAGAUUACCUGCGAGAACUCAACAAAUGGAUUCCUGCAACUGUCAGUGCAACCAAGAUCUCUCAGUAUUCCAACACCACAAAGAUUUCCGUCAUGUCACUCCAGCAUCCCUAAACCGUGGCAGGUCUAAAACUAAGGAUUUUAUUAUUCUACAAAGCUCAACAUAUUCUGAGAUCCAUAUUUGAUGAUGAAAGAGAAUAUUCUUAAUAUGUUUUUAAAGAUAAGAAAAAUAUAUCCCUCAAAUUUUCUGGAA